GACGAACGCUGGCGGCGUGCUUAACACAUGCAAGUCGAACGGAAAGGCCCUGCUUUUGUGGGGUGCUCGAGUGGCGAACGGGUGAGUAACACGUUAGUAACCUGCCCUUGACUUUGGGAUAACUUCAGGAAACUGGGGCUAAUACCGGAUAGGAGCUCCUGCUGCAUGGUGGGGGUUGGAAAGUUUCGGCGGUUGGGGAUGGACUCGCGGCUUAUCAGCUUGUUGGUGGGGUAGUGGCUUACCAAGGCUUUGACGGGUAGCCGGCCUGAGAGGGUGACCGGCCAAAUUGGGACUGAGAUACGGCCCAGACUCCUACGGGAGGCAGCAGUGGGGAAUAUUGCACAAUGGGCGGAAGCCUGAUGCAGCAACGCCGCGUGCGGGAUGACGGCCUUCGGGUUGUAAACCGCUUUCGCCUGUGACGAAGCGUGAGUGACGGUAAUGGGUAAAGAAGCACCGGCUAACUACGUG
rnacentral:rRNA from 1 species